rnacentral:rRNA from 1 species
GAUGAACGCUGGCGGCGUGCCUAAUACAUGCAAGUCGAGCGAACGGACGAGAAGCUUGCUUCUCUGAUGUUAGCGGCGGACGGGUGAGUAACACGUGGAUAACCUACCUAUAAGACUGGGAUAACUUCGGGAAACCGGAGCUAAUACCGGAUAAUAUUUUGAACCGCAUGGUUCAAAAGUGAAAGACGGUCUUGCUGUCACUUAUAGAUGGAUCCGCGCUUCAUUAGCUAGUUGGUAAGGUAACGGCUUACCAAGGCAACGAUGCAUAACCGACCUGAGAGGGUGAUCGGCCACAUGGGAGCUGAGACACGGUCAAGACUCCUACGGGAGGCAGCAGUAGGGAAUCUUACGCAAUGGGCGAAAGCCUGACGGAGCAACGCCGCGUGAGUGAUGAAGGUCUUCGGAUCGUAAAACUCUGUUAUUAGGGAAGAACAUAUGUGUAAGUAAAUGUGCACAUCUUGACGGUACCUAAUCAGAAAGCCACGGCUAACUACGUG